GACGUACCACCCAAACGUUAUUCGGAAUCACUGGGCUUAAAGAGUCCGUAGGCGGUCAGGAAAGUUGGGUGUGAAAUACCUCAGCUCAACUGAGGAAUUGCGCUCAAAACUACCUGGCUCGAGAAAGACAGAGGUGAGCGGAACUGAUGGUGGAGCGGUGAAAUGCAUUGAUAUCAUCAGGAACACCGGUGGCGAAAGCGGCUCACUGGGUCUUUUCUGACGCUCAUGGACGAAAGCUAGGGGAGCGAACGGG
rnacentral:rRNA from 1 species